AUACGUAGGUGACAAGCGUUAUCCGGAUUUACUGGGUGUAAAGGGCGUGUAGGCGGGGAUGCAAGUCAGAUGUGAAAUUCCGGGGCUCAACCCCGGCACUGCAUCUGAAACUGUGUCUCUUGAGUGCUGGAGAGGAAAGCGGAAUUCCUAGUGUAGCGGUGAAAUGCGUAGAUAUUAGGAGGAACACCAGUGGCGAAGGCGGCUUUCUGGACAGUAACUGACGCUGAGGCGCGAAAGCGUGGGUAGCGAAAAGGAUUAGAUACCCUGGUAGUCCACGCCGUAAACGAUGGAUACUAGGUGUAGGAGGUAUCGACCCCUUCUGUGCCGGAGUUAACACAAUAAGUAUCCCACCUGGGGAGUACGGCCGCAAGGUUGAAACUCAAAUGAAUUGACGGGG
rnacentral:rRNA from 1 species